UAUUUAUCUACACGUGGAUAGCUAAACGUGUCCAGAAACUUGUGCUCAAGUCUUCUGGUCAAUAACCAUCAGAUUUCUCAUGUACAGAUUUAAUACUUAUCCUUUAUUUUAGCCUGCUUUAUUUAGUUCGAAAAUGCGUGUGUAUGUGUGUAUUUUUUUUUGCUUCCCUACUGUCUAAAUAACAUCUUUAGGUAAACUCUGUUUGUCCAAUUUUCCUCGCAAAUUUAUAACAAAUUAAAGAUUUUAUAAUGCAUAUGAUUAUGGAUCUGAUCCGUAAACAAGAUAGGAAUAUAUUAUAGCACUAAAAGUAAAAGAUGACUGUAACGAUAUUAAAGUGAUGGUAUAUAAGAAUAACAUUUUUAGUCAUUGGAUAUGAUUAUUAAUAGGGAGCAGUAUAAAAAAUACAAUACAAAGGUUGAUAAAACUAAUAAUAUCAAAAUGAUGUAUACAACUUCUUAUCGCCAACCAAGACGCGUUGAUCCAAGUGGUAAACAAAUUAUGGCUGGAAUUAUCACCAUCUGAGUUCAAUUCGUACUGAAAAAAACUAUUUACAAUCAGAACUGGUCCUUUUUAAGGCUUCAAGCAAAAAUAAAAUUUAUAGCUGUUUUGUAUAUCUUUACAAAAAAAAAAGGUUUAUAAAUUACACAAUAGAACAAAAAUUUAAAUGUCACUAGACCAAAGGAACAUUUAUCAUUUUGUGGCCAAAAUAUUUAUUAUAAAAUUGGUGGUUGGAAGCGAGUGCUUGAUUGGUGUGGUGUCAAGACCGACACUUGGAUUUACGGUAAAGAGGUAAACAUUUUUUUACACCAAAAAAUAACUUCUUACUGCCAUCGUCGAUUGACAAAAUUUCACCUAGAUAGUAAAAUUUACCAUUCAAGACCUAUAUUAGAUUAGAAACGAAUGCUAUACAAAAUCAUUAGUGAGUAAGAUCUUUGUAUUAAGCCAAAACAUUGUUUUAAGACCACUAACGCGAGGGAGUACUGCUAGUAGGGAAAUCAUGGCGACUACAUGAGUGCGAACAUGUAUUUGAAUUUGUCGAGACAAUUUAAAGAUUUAGUAAGACGAUUAAGAUUUUUUGUUCUGAAAAGGAAACAAGAGGUGUUUUAAAUUGAAAUAAUUGGGGAAAGUUAAGUGGUGACCACAUAGAAAAAGGUGAGACAAGUACUCUGGUUCUUACAGCUUUUAGAGCUGUACGAAACAAAACAGAACUGUUCAGUUACUGUCGUCCUGUCGUUGGUUAUGACUUUCAUUUAGGCACCAAUACCCAUUUUCAUUUCACUUUUCCUUCAUUACGCAUUUACACCAAAGUAUAUCUUAAUUUCUUUAUAUAACUUAUAAAGUAGUCAUAUACUCAUAUCUACAUAAGUUGUAGUUUAUUUUGCAGUUUAGUCUAUGUUCUGAAGAAGUUUAGUUAGAACAAGUUUUCAAAACCAUUGAAGAUAUCAUUUGUUAAUUUCGCAAUGAAAUAUUACAAACGUAUAGGGUCGUUUUAAAUUAAUUUACAGGAAGCAUUAAAUCUAUUGUGAAAACGGUUCUGGUCGUCUCUGGUAACACUUUCAGGUAGUGAAUUAAAAUAUCACAGGCGAUACAUAUCUAUAUAUCCCACUAUAUAAAAGAAGCUAAAUUCUAGCUUCCUAAGACUAUCCACAUGGGCAAAAUAAUCAGGACCAACCAAUAUGCCAGGUCAUAACGAAAUGGGCUUGAAAUUAAAAAAAAACGAAAUCAUCAUGGCCCAGUCCAUAGCCUCAUCUCCCUGCCUCUCUUCAUAUGUAUUUUGUAUCACAGCCCAUUAAGCCCAACUCCCAGACAAAUCCAGAUACGCUCUUACAGUUCGGGUUAUAUCGCCCCUUCCUCUGAAAUCAUCAUCCCUAACCCUAAGCGGCGUCUCGCUCUGUUUCGCGAUUCUCUUCCUCUCCCCCAACUCAUCCCCCAUAACGCCUCCGAUGAGAGUGAUGGUACUUCAAUGUGCUCUCAUAAAUCCUCCAUUCAUGAUCCCCACAGACCUUCCACAUACCCUCUCCGUAUCCAUACCCGUACCUCAGAUCUUAAAAUCCAAACCCUCAAAUGUUAAUUAAAUGUUUAAACUUACUUAAUAUUUUAAAACAAAAAAAAACUGAUAUUAAAUUAUUUGACAUCUUAUUAUGGAAAUUCACAUAUAUUAAAACAAGGAAAGUCAUAGUCUCGAAUUAUUUGACAUCUUAUUAGUUUUUAUUUGUUAUAAUCAUAACUUAAUUUAUUAGUAAUAUUUUUCUUACCAAUAUCAGAGUCAUCAAGUUCGAACACAACGAAACGUAAACGCGGACGUCCACUAGGAGUACAGAAUAAAGUGAAAGCUCCAUCUGCGGCAAUUUCCAAUCAGGCUAUGUUACGCAAUGACAAUUAACAAAAGUCAGGGUCAAAGUUUGAAAUGUGUCGUACUGUAUUUGUCACAGCCCGUUUUCACCCAUGGACAGUUCUAUGUUGGUCUUUCCUGAGUUACUACCAAGUCAGGCCUCAAAAUUAUACAAGGAAAGGAUCAAAAGAUAGGAAGGGUUAAAAACAUUGUCUACAAAUAAAUAUACAACGGUCUAUCGCACCUACCAGAAUCACGAUCCGAUGAUCACCCAGAGCAGACUUCCCGGAAUCUUAAACAACUUUCUAUACCAUAAGAUGCAAACUACCAGUCCGCCCGCAAUAGAAAGUGGCUGCUCUACAAGAUCAUUCAUAAUAUACCUCACAGACAUCGUUUACGUCUUAUCUUAUUUUAAUUCUUUUUCGUUAUCUACUGGAUUCUAUUCCCUUUGGACAAUUACUUAUUUCUACUGUCAAACUAUUUUGUUUCUACGUCUUCACAUCCAAAAAAACAAAACUUAACUCACACUUUCAAAAAACUAAAACUCCAAAUUUUAAUAAAACAUUACUUUAA